AUACGGAGGGUCCGAGCGUUGUCCGGAUUUAUUGGGUUUAAAGGGUGUGUAGGCGGUGUAUUAAGUCAGUGGUGAAAGCCUGCGGCUCAACCGUAGAACUGCCAUUGAUACUGACACACUUGAGUUUGGUUGAGGUAGGCGGAAUUUAUGGUGUAGCGGUGAAAUGCAUAGAUACCAUAAAGAACACCGAUAGCGAAGGCAGCUUACUAAGCCGAAACUGACGCUGAGGCACGAAAGCGUGGGGAGCGAACAGGAUUAGAUACCCCGGUAGUCC
rnacentral:rRNA from 1 species